GGAAGAUGGCGGCGGCGCUGUUCCGCGGGCGGGUGGCCAUCGUUAUCGGCGGUGGCACCGGCAUCGGCAAGGCCAUCGCCGCCGACUUGCUGGCGCUAGUGCUUGUGACAGAAAUGUCCUGAAGUUAAUGUACAUCUUCAGCGUGCGCUUUGUGGGUUCUCCUUCUGUGCUGAUUCCGGAGAAGUGGUAAAAUCUGGAGUGAAAGGCAGUCUUCUGAGUCAUCCACCUUGCAACACCUUUUCUGCAGUUUCAACAUAAGUGCUAGGGAUCAUCGGCAUCAGACUGGUUUCAGAUAAUGUUUAUUCUCAUGAUUGUAUCACUGUCUUCAAAAUACCAACACUAGCAUUAUGCCUCACAGUGCCAGGCUCCUCGUGCUUUGCGCUGUUGAAAUGUGUACCACGCCAUUUCACUGCAUAUUAAAGAGCUUUCUUUGUUAAGAUGGUGUGCUGGGAGACAUCUCUGCCUCUCCUGGCCUUUGUCACCUCAGCUUUCCACUUGCUUUGUAGAGCUGAAGUGAGGGGUUAGUUCUGUUACCUUUGUAUUACUGGGGAACUAAGCAUUUUUUUAAGAUGUCCUUACAUGCUCCCUUAAAGAGGUGCUUUUUAAGCAUCAUCACACUGUUGGUUGAUGAUGUUACCCAAUUACCUUAAAAUUGUACUUAAUUUGAUCUGCAUUAUUUUUCUCAAGCAAAAUACAAAUAACAAAACUGUGUGUCCGUAAUAUCCUAAAUAGAAAACAAGGCUGCAAAUCUCUACAAAGCACAUGUGAGAAAAUAAAGAAAGAGUUAUGGCUUAAGUCUGAGUAACAUUCCUUUCCUGCAGACUUGCUGGCUACUCCUGACAAGAAGAUGGC
rnacentral:lncRNA from 1 species